rnacentral:rRNA from 1 species
AGAGUUUGAUCCUGGCUCAGAACGAACGCUGGCGGCGUGGAUAAGACAUGCAAGUCGAACGGGAUUUUCCGGGUAGCAAUACUUGGGAAGUCCAGUGGCAAACGGGUGCGUAACACGUGAGCAAUCUGCCGGGAAGUGGGGGAUAGCUCGCCGAAAGGCGAAUUAAUACCGCAUGUGGCCAGGGGGGACAUCCUCCCGAAGCCAAAGUCGCAAGACGCUUCCUGAUGAGCUCGCGGCCUAUCAGCUUGUUGGCGGGGUAACGGCCCACCAAGGCUAUGACGGGUAGCUGGUCUGAGAGGACGACCAGCCACACUGGAACUGAGACACGGUCCAGACACCUACGGGUGGCAGCAGUCGAGAAUUUUUCACAAUGGGGGAAACCCUGAUGGAGCGACGCCGCGUGGAGGAUGAAGGUCUUCGGAUUGUAAACUCCUGUCAUGCGAGAACAAGAAAGUGAUAGUAUCGCAAGAGGAAGAGACGGCUAACUCUGUGCCAGCAGCCGCGGUAAUACAGAGGUCUCAAGCGUUGUUCGGAUUCAUUGGGCGUAAAGGGUGCGUAGGCGGCGUGGUAAGUUGAGUGUGAAAUCCUGGGGCUUAACCUCAGAACUGCACUCAAUACUGCCAUGCUCGAGGAAUGUAGAGGAGAGUGGAAUUCACGGUGUAGCAGUGAAAUGCGUAGAUAUCGUGAGGAAGACCAGUUGCGAAGGCGACUCUCUGGGCAUUUCCUGACGCUGAGGCACGAAGGCCAGGGGAGCAAACGGGAUUAGAUACCCCGGUAGUCCUGGCAGUAAACGGUGCACGUUUGGUGUGGGCGGGUUCAGACCCCGUCCGUGCCGGAGCUAACGCGUCAAACGUGCCGCCUGGGAAGUACGGUCGCAAGAUUAAAACUCAAAGGAAUUGACGGG